UUUGGGGUAGUUUAUAUAGAACUUUUUGUUGUUACCAAAAAAGGUGGCCCAAAAU
rnacentral:tRNA from 1 species